AUCUUUCUCUCUCUCUCUCUCUCUCUUUCAUUCUUUCUUUCUUUUCUAUACUGAUAUGGACAUUAAAAUCCCUCGCCAGAGCUGCCUGUUGCAUAAUUCUUAGCUCUCAUCAGCUAAUAUUGUCUUGGGGCAGUUCAGGAAACAAUCCUUCAGCAUCUCUCCUCCCAGAACUGCAACCGGUUUGUGCAAGUCAUUUGUGCAUAGAUGUCCAGCGACUAUCUAUAGGACCAGAUUAACUGUAUUAUAAAGCACCAUAAUGUACACCCCCUCAGCCAAAUUUCAUGUAUGUAUUUCAGAGUUCAUCCACUCAGCUUCUCUGCCCGCCAGCCAAUGAGGAGUAAAGAUGCUUGCGUCACCCCUCCCAUCCAUAGCACAAGGAUAAGAAGCUGAAGGAUGAAUUCACCGUCGGAAGGAUGGAUACAGACUUCUCAUAACACUGAUAUAUCUCCAAGUUGGCUCAGAUCCAUUUUCCUGUUAACGUCACCUAUCUGAAGUUGGAUUUCUUCCAGAAUGUAAUGUAAAGACUGUGGAAAGUGAAUGAAAGCCCUAAUCACGUGCUAAUGUGAGACGUUAUCGCUUAGCUACAGAGAUCUAUAGCUUUAGUGUUACCAGUGACUUUGCAAAGCCCUUUAAAAGGAUAGUGAGAUCAUGUGUUUCUACCUGAAAGGUUUGAUUACAGUUACUAGAGCAUUAAAGUGUAUAACAUGACUUUGCAACCUAAUCACAACAUUUCAAGAGCCUAUGGGGUCAAUUUAUUAAUGUGCAAGCGGACAUGAUACAAUAUAGCGUAUCAUGUCGGCUGCACAUCGAUAAAUGCCAACAGCAUAUGCUGUCUGCAUUUAUCAUUGCACCAGCAGUCCUUGUGAACUGCUGGUGCAAUGCCGCACCCUGCAGAUUCACAGCCAAUUGACCGCUAGCAGGGGGUGUCAAUCAACCCGAUCUUAUGCAGGCGGACAGGUUAUGGAGCAACGGUCUUUAGAAACACGGGGCAUCAAGCUCCAUACGGAACUUGAUAAAUUGACCCCUAUAUGCUAUUAUAAAUGUGUGUAUUGCUAAAUAACUAAAAAUUAUGUAACGCCAGAUAGUAUAUAGGAUUUCUAAUAUGUUAGGGCAUUUUAUCAUUGUAUAAAUGCUGGUGUGUAGUAAUUCUCACAGGACCCCGUUCCAAGCCAUAGAACCUGCCACCCUCUUCUAGGAAAAGAGAGGAUACAUACAUUGUCUGCAUUUAUGAUUGCACAAGUAUCUGCUUGUGCAGCCACUCCCCUUGCUCUUGCACAACUAAUUGUACAAGAGCAGUCUUUGUCAAUCAUCCCAAAAAAUCCACCAAGGCUCUGAAGCUAAAUUUGCAACUUUAUAAAUGGAGCCAAUAAUCACCUGCAGCCUAGCUAGUGCUGAAGAGGACAUUGACAGAAAUUUUUGGCUACGUGUGUAUGACACUCCGGUUUGGUUCAUUAGUUGUGUAUUGUACAAUGGCAGAAAAGGCUCCGGAACACAUAGUUAAACACUUAGUUACAUGCAAGGAUUUGUGCAGUGAUAAAUUUCACUAGUGCAUUUAAUGUAUAUUUUUUGUAAAUUAUGCAGUGUCAUGUGUCCAUUUAAAUUCCUGCCGAGCUAAGAUAUUACCAGUGCAUUCAGAGUUAUAAAUAAAAACUGCUGGGACAGAAAAAUCACACAAACUGGAGGGGGGCUGUUUCUUUGAAAUUUGAUACCUAAGAUUUCAAUUCUGUAUGAAUCUUCUUAACUACAAAAAAGUGCAACUUUUGUUCAGUGAUAAUAAUGAAUAGGCAUAAAUCUUAUUUCAAUAGUUUAAAAAAAAAAA